CCUACGGGAGGCAGCAGUAGGGAAUAUUGCACAAUGGGGGAAACCCUGAAGCAGCAACGCCGCGUGGAGGAUGAAGGUUUUCGGAUUGUAAACUGCUUUUGUAAGAGAAGAAAAUGACGGUAACUCACGAAUAAGCACCGGCUAACUCCGUGCCAGCAGCCGCGGUAAUACGGAGGGUACAAGCGUUAGUCGGAAUCACUGGGCGUAAAGAGUUCGCAGGCGGGUUUGUAAUACAGAUGGGAAAUCCGGUAGUUUAACUACAGAACUGCAUUUGAAACUAGGAGUCUAGAGUGUGGGAGGGGUAGGUGGAAUUCUUGGUGUAGGGGUAAAAUCCGUAGAUA
rnacentral:rRNA from 1 species